rnacentral:rRNA from 1 species
GAUGAACGCUGGCGGCGUGCCUAAUACAUGCAAGUCGAGCGAACGGACGAGAAGCUUGCUUCUCUGAUGUUAGCGGCGGACGGGUGAGUAACACGUGGAUAACCUACCUAUAAGACUGGGAUAACUUCGGGAAACCGGAGCUAAUACCGGAUAAUAUUUUGAACCGCAUGGUUCAAAAGUGAAAGACGGUCUUGCUGUCACUUAUAGAUGGAUCCGCGCUGCAUUAGCUAGUUGGUAAGGUAACGGCUUACCAAGGCAACGAUGCAUAGCCGACCUGAGAGGGGGAGGGGCCACACUGGAAGGGAGACCGGGCCGGGACCCAUGGGGGGGGAGCAAGUGGGGAAUCGUCAGAAAGGGGCAAAAGCGGGAGGGAGCAAGGCAGGGGGAGGAAGAAGGGUUUGGGGAUCGAAAAACUUUGUUAUAGGGGAAAAACAUAUGUGAAAGAAAUUGUACAAUGCUGGAGGGUACCAAAUAAGAAAGCCAGGGCAAACUACGUG